rnacentral:rRNA from 1 species
GGGUUGUGAGGUUAAGUGACUAAGCGUACACGGUGGAUGCCUAGGCAGUCAGAGGCGAUGAAGGGCGUGCUAAUCUGCGAAAAGCGUCGGUAAGGUGAUAUGAACCGUUAUAACCGGCGAUACCCGAAUGGGGAAACCCAGUGUGUUUCGACACACUAUCAUGUCAUGAAUACAUAGUGGCAUGAGGCGAACCGGGGGAACUGAAACAUCUAAGUACCCCGAGGAAAAGAAAUCAACCGAGAUUCCCCCAGUAGCGGCGAGCGAACGGGGAGGAGCCCAGAACCUGAAUCGGCUUGUGUGUUAGUGGAAGCGUCUGGAAAGUCGCGCAGCAAAGGGUGAUAGCCCCGUACACUAAAAUGCACAGGUCGUGAGUUCGAUGAGUAGGGCGGGACACGUGACAUCCUGUCUGAAUAUGGGGGGACCAUCCUCCAAGGCUAAAUACUCCUGACUGACCGAUAGUGAACCAGUACCGUGAGGGAAAGGCGAAAAGAACCCCGGCGAGGGGAGUGAAAUAGAACCUGAAACCGUGUACGUACAAGCAGUGGGAGCACCUUCGUGGUGUGACUGCGUACCUUUUGUAUAAUGGGUCAGCGACUUAUAUUUUGUAGCAAGGUUAACCGUAUAGGGGAGCCGUAGGGAAACCGAGUCUUAACUGGGCGAAUAGUUGCAAGGUAUAGACCCGAAACCCGGUGAUCUAGCCAUGGGCAGGUUGAAGGUUGGGUAACACUAACUGGAGGACCGAACCGACUAAUGUUGAAAAAUUAGCGGAUGACUUGUGGCUGGGGGUGAAAGGCCAAUCAAACCGGGAGAUAGCUGGUUCUCCCCGAAAGCUAUUUAGGUAGCGCCUCGUGAACUCAUCUUCGGGGGUAGAGCACUGUUUCGGCUAGGGGGCCAUCCCGGCUUACCAAACCGAUGCAAACUCCGAAUACCGAAGAAUGUUAUCACGGGAGACACACGGCGGGUGCUAACGUCCGUCGUGAAGAGGGAAACAACCCAGACCGCCAGCUAAGGUCCCAAAGUCAUGGUUAAGUGGGAAACGAUGUGGGAAGGCAUAGACAGCCAGGAUGUUGGCUUAGAAGCAGCCAUCAUUUAAAGAAAGCGUAAUAGCUCACUGGUCGAGUCGGCCUGCGCGGAAGAUGUAACGGGGCUAAACCAUGCACCGAAGCUGCGGCAGCGACGCUUAG